rnacentral:sRNA from 1 species
CGAAUUUCCGUAUAUGACGUUCGGGCUGC